AUAUUUGCGUCGCUUAAUGGUUCCUUCUAUGCGAAGGAUUAAAAGGGAACGUUGUUAAAAUCAACGGCUGUUUCCGCAACUGUAAUGCCUGUAACUGUAUGUUUAGUAUGCCACUGCCGCAAGCGGGAAGGCAAACAUACGGGGGCUAAGCCAGGAGACCUGCCAUUAGGCCGUAUUUAGU
rnacentral:ncRNA from 2 species